rnacentral:rRNA from 1 species
UACGAAGGGGGCUAGCGUUGCUCGGAAUCACUGGGCGUAAAGCGCACGUAGGCGGAUUGUUAAGUCAGGGGUGAAAUCCUGGAGCUCAACUCCAGAACUGCCUUUGAUACUGGCGAUCUUGAGUCCGGGAGAGGUGAGUGGAACUGCGAGUGUAGAGGUGAAAUUCGUAGAUAUUCGGAAGAACACCAGUGGCGAAGGCGGCUCACUGGCCCGGUACUGACGCUGAGGUGCGAAAGCGUGGGGAGCAAACAGG